GGGGGUAUAGCUCAGUGGUAGAGCACUUCGUUCGCAACGAAGGGGUCGGCGGUUCAAGUCCGCCUACCUCCA
rnacentral:tRNA from 1 species